GAAAUUCAACUUGGCUUGAUUUUUUUUAGUUAUUUCUUCUUUUUUUGUUAUAUUUUCUGAAAUAAGAAUAUUAUUCUUUAUUAUUGGGCCAAGAAAAAAUUAUUUUUAUUAUAGUUUAAUUGUACCGUAUGGGAAUCUCUUUAAAUGAAAUAAAGAAUAGUUGAUUUUUUGUACCUUGUGUAUCAGGGGUUACUAAAUUUUUCUUAGUAUUUAGAUUUCUCGAAUUCAGGGGAGCUAUUUUUGUAUAUAUUUUAUUGUAAAAUAAAUACUUAAAAUACAUUAAUAGAAAUGAAACGUUAUUCGUCUCUGAAUAUAUCUAGUUUAUUAAGAAAAAAGUUAAAUUUGUUUAGCUUAAGUACUAAAUUUAAUUUUUAAUUAGUUGCUUUUGUUAGGUUAUUUCCUAUGGGAUGAGCUUUAGGAAAUAUUUUUACAAGUAAUAUAAUUAUUCUAAGUUUUUAGGGUUAGAAGUUUUCACAGCUAAAAGAAUGUUACAUUUGACUUAGUUUUUGAUAAUUAUUUAUAUUUUCUUUAAUUAUUUAUUAAUAUUUGAUUUUUAAUAAAAAAUAAUCAGUAAUUAUGGUAAUAUUAGUAAAUAUUUAUGUAAAAAUAUUUAAAUUGUUGAGGUUAGACUAAGGAAUUCGGCAACUAAUUUUCCACCUGUUUAUUAAAAACAUGUCCUUUUGAUUAUAAUUUCAGGUCUAGCCUGCCCACUGAGUAGUUAAAGGGCCGCGGUAUUUUGACCGUGCUAAGGUAGCAUAAUCACUAGUUUCUUAAUUGGAAGCUUGUAUGAAUGGUUGAAUGAGAAAAUUUCUGUCUCUGUCUAAUUUUUAUUUGAAUUUUAUUUUUAAGUAAAAAAGCUUAAAUUUAUUUAAAAGACGAGAAGACCCCGUAGAGUUUUAUAUUAAAAAGAUUCUCGCUUCUUUUAGCAUUAUUUAAGGUGGUUUUUUUUUAAUAUUUGGUUGGGGUGAUUGAAAAAUUAAAUAAACUUUUUCUUUAUCUUAACAUUGAUUUAUGAAAAAUUGAUCCACUUUUAGUGAUUAUAAGAUUAAAUUACCUUGGGGAUAACAGCGUAAUUCUUUUUGAGAGUUCCUAUCGAAAGAAGAGAUUGCGACCUCGAUGUUGGAUUAAAAUUAAAUUCUGGUGCAGAAGCUAGGGAAUUUAGGUCUGUUCGACCUUUAAAAUUUUACAUGAUCUGAGUUUAAACCGGCGUGAGCCAGGUUGGUUUCUAUCUUUAAUUUAGGUAAUAUUCUAGUACGAAAGGACCGGAUAUUAGGUAGUUUAUUUUUUAUUUGAGUUUUAUUGUUAUUUUGGCAGAAUAGUGCAAUGGAUUUAGAAUCUUUAUAUGUAAUGUUAAUUACAAAUAAC
rnacentral:rRNA from 1 species